UUUUUCUUUUUUCACUGUACAGUCCUAAGACCAUCGUUUCAAAGGCCAAAAGUGACCAUUCCUCUUCUCACUUUCCCACGUCGACAGACUACAGCAGCAACAACCCCACUUUCGAGUUUCGACGAUGACGACCAGCAGUAGCACGCAGCAGCAACCAGUCAACCAGCAGGCAGCCGUAGCACACCAACCGACCUUUCCAAUUUCCACACAGCCAGGCGUCUGCCGACUUCUAGCGAUCCCCAUCAGAUGGAAGUAUUACAGGUUCAAUUCAAUAUGAAGAUUGGGCUAAUGUGAGAAAUUUCACAAAGUUUCUUGAAAAAAGUUAUGAGCUCCUUUCAUGUUCACGAAAUGACAAAUAGUGGAAGAAACUCUUACAUUGUUUGAUCUAUGAUUGGCUUGCUAAUCUCAAGUAUUUAAUUGUGGUCCAAGAGUCGAGACAAUGAAGAAAGGUAUAAAGUACCAACUUUUGUUAGUGUUUUUUGUAAUCUUGUUGGCACUUGAGUCUUGAAAGUAGUCUCGUGAAAGAAAGUCAAGAAACUACAUUAUCGCUCAUUGUUGUUGUUUGUUAUUGUUGACACUUGAAACUUGAAAGUGGUCUCAUGGAAGAGGCUACAUUGUUUGUUGCUCAUUAUUGUUGUUUGUUAUUGUUGGCACUUGAAACUUGAAAGUAGUCUCGUGAAAGAGGCUACAUUGUUUGUUGCUCAUUAUUGUUGUUUGUUAUUAUUGGCACUUGAAACUUGAAAA